CCUUAGGCCUCAGCCCUAUAGCCUGUGGCGACCAGAUCACUUCAGCCCAGGAAGACACAAUAGGCCCAGUUCUUCACACUGCUGGAAACCAGGACUUUGGGAGUUUAGUGCUCAGCUCCUGAGGACCAGGGGUCACCAGCCCCACCCCAGGGGCACCAGCUCCUCCACUAGGGGCUGGCGCAUCCUCCCGCCCCUUGGAGGACUUUGGCCUUCUGACUUGGGCCCACAUCCAGGCAGGCAGGCCACUGUGUAGGCCUAACUGGCCCCCUAUCCUCAGCUGCGAUGCAGGAGCAACGGUACCACACUGGAGACUGGGCCUGGUUUGCAUAGUCUGCACGUUUAAUCACUUUAAAACCUCUAACAUUAUCUCAUGUCCAUUAAAUAGAACCAGCAAUGCUGGGCCUGUUUAAAUUACAAGAAAAAAAUCACUGUGCACCAACCCAGCAUCUUACAAAACCAGCCGGGCUGGCCACGAGGGCAGGGGGAUGGGAGAGGAGGGGAGGGGAGGGUGGUCAGGACACCAGCACAGGGUUCAGCCAGAGCUUCGGCCUUGGCUGCGCCAGCCUGGUGGCCAGUGGUGGUGGAGGCACGGAGCACAGGGGUGGGUCAUGGGACACAGGCCACAGGAAUCCCAACAAGCAAGGGCUGCC
rnacentral:lncRNA from 1 species